CCUACGGGAGGCAGCAGUGAGGAAUAUUGGUCAAUGGUCGGGAGACUGAACCAGCCAAGCCGCGUGAGGGAUGACGGUACAGAGUAUCGUAAACCUCUUUUGUCAGGGAACAAAGGCGGGGACGUGUCCCCGGAUGAGUGUACCUGAAGAAAAAGCAUCGGCUAACUCCGUGCCAGCAGCCGCGGUAAUACGGAGGAUGCGAGCGUUAUCCGGAUUUAUUGGGUUUAAAGGGUGCGCAGGAGGGCUGUUAAGUCAGCGGUCAAAGCCCGGGGCUCAACCCCGGCCCGCCGUUGAAACUGGCAGUCGCGAGUUGGAGAGAAGUAUGCGGAAUGCGCGGUGUAGCGGUGAAAUGCAUAGAUAUCGCGCAGAACUCCGAUUGCGAAGGCAGCAUGCCGGCUCCACACUGACGCUGAGGCACGAAAGCGUGGGUAUCGAACAGGAUUAGAUACCCCGGUAGUC
rnacentral:rRNA from 1 species